GGAGGUAGAGCACUGAUUGGACGAGGGGUCCCCACAGGAUUACCGAAUUCAGUCAAACUCCGAAUGCCAAUGACUUUAACUCGGGAGUCAGACUGCGAGUGCUAAGAUCCGUAGUCAAGAGGGAAACAGCCCAGACCAUCAGCUAAGGUCCCCAAGUAUACGUUAAGUGGAAAAGGAUGUGGAGUUGCCCAGACAACCAGGAUGUUGGCUUAGAAGCAGCCAUCAUUGAAAGAGUGCGUAAUAGCUCACUGGUCGAGUGACUCUGCGCCGAAAAUGUACCGGGG
rnacentral:rRNA from 1 species